CAAGUACUCCCUCCGUCCGGAAUUACUUGUCAUCAAAAUGGAUGUGUCUAGAACUAAAAUACAUCUAGAUACAUCCAUUUCAAUGACAAGUAUUUCCGGAUGAAGGGAGUACAAG
rnacentral:pre_miRNA from 1 species